rnacentral:rRNA from 1 species
GAAUGCUGACAUAAGUAACGAUAAAGCGGGUGAAAAGCCCGCUCGCCGGAAGACCAAGGGUUCCUGUCCAACGUUAAUCGGGGCAGGGUGAGUCGACCCCUAAGGCGAGGCCGAAAGGCGUAGUCGAUGGGAAACAGGUUAAUAUUCCUGUACUUGGUGUUACUGCGAAGGGGGGACGGAGAAGGCUAUGUUGGCCGGGCGACGGUUGUCCCGGUUUAAGCGUGUAGGCUGGUUUUCCAGGCAAAUCCGGAAAAUCAAGGCUGAGGCGUGAUGACGAGGCACUACGGUGCUGAAGCGACAAAUGCCCUGCUUCCAGGAAAAGCCUCUAAGCAUCAGGUAACAUCAAAUC